CUACGUAUAAAACAUCUGCAAAAAUAGUGUCUGACAAUGAAGGUUUUUUCUGUUAUCGCUCUAUUUUUGGCGGUUGCUGCUGCUCAAUCGGGUGAUGAUGAUACAAUGGAAAGUGAAAGUCCUGAAGAUGAAGGUUGGCCGGAACAUCCUGCAGUUAAGCCAACUGGACGUCCUUGGCUUCCUUACAAACCCGGAGAUUCGAGAUUGAAGCACAGC